GUCAGGAACCCCACGGCUAUAAGCCGGGGCUUUGAAAAAGCCUAUACCUGACCAGUCCUAAGUGCUUAGCGCACUACGUUAACGGCAAGAGUUAAAAGUCCUACCUACGGAUGCGUGCCAGUCUGUAGCUCUAGAACCAAGUGGUUAAACAGGUCUAAGGGGUUAAGCCAGUGCUACUUGGAAAGUACCGACCGUUAACAUUGGCGAGGCAAACAUCAC
ncrna:Microcoleus chthonoplastes PCC 7420 HNH endonuclease-associated RNA and ORF (HEARO) RNA